rnacentral:rRNA from 1 species
UACGAAGGGGGCUAGCGUUGCUCGGAAUCACUGGGCGUAAAGCGCACGUAGGCGGACUCUUAAGUCAGGGGUGAAAUCCUGGAGCUCAACUCCAGAACUGCCUUUGAUACUGAGAGCCUUGAGUUCGGGAGAGGUGAGUGGAACUGCGAGUGUAGAGGUGAAAUUCGUAGAUAUUCGCAAGAACACCAGUGGCGAAGGCGGCUCACUGGCCCGAUACUGACGCUGAGGCACGAAAGCCAGGGGAGCGAACGGG